CGGAGGGGCUAGCGUUGUUCGGAAUUACUGGGCGUAAAGCGCACGUAGGCGGCUUUACAAGUCAGAGGUGAAAGCCUGGUGCUCAACACCAGAAUUGCCCUUUGAGACUGUAUCGCUUGAACGUCGGAGAGGUGAGUGGAAUUCCGAGUGUAGAGGUGAAAUUCGUAGAUAUUCGGAAGAACACCAGUGGCGAAGGCGGCUCACUGGACGACUGUUGACGCUGAGGUGCGAAAGCGUGGGAGCAAACAGGAUU
rnacentral:rRNA from 1 species